rnacentral:rRNA from 1 species
CCAACGGGAGGCUGCAGUGGGGAAUUUUGGACAAUGGGCGAAAGCCUGAUCCAGCCAUGCCGCGUGCAGGAUGAAGGCCUUCGGGUUGUAAACUGCUUUUGUACGGAACGAAAAGACUCCUUCUAAUAAAGGGGGUCCAUGACGGUACCGUAAGAAUAAGCACCGGCUAACUACGUGCCAGCAGCCGCGGUAAUACGUAGGGUGCAAGCGUUAAUCGGAAUUACUGGGCGUAAAGCGUGCGCAGGCGGUUAUAUAAGACAGAGGUGAAAUCCCCGGGCUCAACCUGGGAACUGCAUUUGUGACUGUAUAGCUAGAGUACGGCAGAGGGGGAUGGAAUUCCGCGUGUAGCAGUGAAAUGCGUAGAUAUGCGGAGGAACACCGAUGGCGAAGGCAAUCCCCUGGGCCUGUACUGACGCUCAUGCACGAAAGCGUGGGGAGCAAACA